GUAUGAAACGACCUUAGGGCUUCAUAAUCCUCGAUCGGUUGAAGAAGUCUUUAAGGAUUUCAGAUGAAGGCACGCUGGGACAAUCAAGGCUCUCACCACUAAUGUUGAGAAAUUCUUUCAAUAAUGUGAUCCUGUGAUUCCUAUUUCUUAUAUGGGAUUAGCGAGGUUUUGGUUUUAAAAAAGUAAUAGUGACUUGGUAUCAAUUUGGUUUCUGGAUCUGUUAAAUUGUAUAUUUUGAGUAUUUGAGGGUUGUAAUUACUCAGAUUUCACUUUAGAGUUAGUUGGAUCUCAGAUUCAGAGAUAUCUCCAAUUGUAUCCCUUAUUUUAUUUUCAUGUAAUCCGACAAACUCUUACUUCUCUUUGAGUCCCAAGUUCCCAUUAACUAUCGCUUAA